AGCAGUAGCCCGGGAAUACAGAGGGUGCAAGCGUUAAUCGGAAUUACUGGGCGUAAAGCGCGCGUAGGUGGUUUGUUAAGUUGGAUGUGAAAGCCCCGGGCUCAACCUGGGAACUGCAUCCAAAACUGGCAAGCUAGAGUACGGUAGAGGGUGGUGGAAUUUCCUGUGUAGCGGUGAAAUGCGUAGAUAUAGGAAGGAACACCAGUGGCGAAGGCGACCACCUGGACUGAUACUGACACUGAGGUGCGAAAGCGUGGGGAGCAAACAGGAUUAGAUACCCCUGUAGUCCCUGUCUCUUAUACA
rnacentral:rRNA from 1 species